rnacentral:tRNA from 1 species
GGCCCCGUGGUGUAGCGGUCUAACAUAACGCCCUGUCACGGCGUAGAUCGGGGGUUCGAAUCCCCCCGGGGUCGCCA